AUGAAGAUCAUCGUUCUGUCCUUCUUCCUGCUCCUCCUCAACCUCAGCAGUACAAAGUGUCAAAGUCUGGAGUCGAUUCCUGCAGAUCCAGUGCAGAAGAAACCUGGAGAAGCUCUGAGUCUCUCCUGUAGAGGGUCUGGCUUUACUUUUAGCAGCUACAACAUGCACUGGAUCAGACAGCAGCCUGGUAAAGCUCUGGUGUGGAUGGGACGUGUCUGGGCUGGUGGGAAUGGCAAUGAUUACGCGGAUACAUUUAAAGGAAGAAUCGAAAUCACCAGAGAUAAUCCCAACAACAUGGUGUAUCUGAAACUGACUGGACUGACUGUAGAAGAUACUGCUGUGUAUUACUGUGCAGGAGAAGCACAGUGCUGA